CCUACGGGGGGCAGCAGUGGGGGAUAUUGCACAAUGGAGGGAACUCUGAUGCAGCGACGCCGCGUGAGGGAAGAAGUUUUUCGGAUUGUACACCUCUGUCUUCGGUGACGAACCGAGACGGUAGCCGAGGAGGAAGCCACAGCUAACUACGGGCCAGCAGCCGCGGUAAGACGGAGGUGGCAAGCGUUGUCCGGAAGUACUGGGUGUAAAGGGAGCGUAGGAGGGAAAGCAAGUUGAAUGAUUAAGGAACGGGCUAAACCUGUACAAGCGUUCAAAACUGUUUAUCUUGAGUGGAGUAGAGGUAAGCGGAAUUCCUAGUGUAGCGGUGAAAUGCGUAAAUAUUAGGAGGAACACCAGUGGCGAAGGCGGCUUACUGGGCUUUAACUGACGCUGAGGCUCGAAAGCGUGGGUAGCAAACAGGAUUAGAUACCCCUGUAGUC
rnacentral:rRNA from 1 species